rnacentral:rRNA from 1 species
UACGUAGGGGGCGAGCGUUGUCCGGAUUUAUUGGGCGUAAAGAGCUCGUAGGCGGCUUGGCAAGUCGGGUGUGAAACCUCCAGGCUCAACCUGGAGACGCCACUCGAGACUGCUAUGGCUAGAGUCCGGUAGGGGACCACGGAAUUCCUGGUGUAGCGGUGAAAUGCGCAGAUAUCAGGAGGAACACCGGUGGCGAAGGCGGUGGUCUGGGCCGGCACUGACGCUGAGGAGCGAAAGCGUGGGGAGCGAACAGG